AUUGAACGCUGGCGGCAGGCCUAACACAUGCAAGUCGAGCGGAUGAAGGGAGCUUGCUCCUGGAUUCAGCGGCGGGCGGGUGAGUAAUGCCUAGGAAUCUGCCUGGUAGUGGGGGAUAACGUCCGGAAACGGGCGCUAAUACCGCAUACGUCCUGAGGGAGAAAGUGGGGGAUCUUCGGACCUCACGCUAUCAGAUGAGCCUAGGUCGGAUUAGCUAGUUGGUGGGGUAAAGGCCUACCAAGGCGACGAUCCGUAACUGGUCUGAGAGGAUGAUCAGUCACAGUGGAACUGAGACACGGUCCAGGCUCCUACGGGAGGCAGCAGUGGGGAAUAUUGGGCAAUGGGCGAAAGCCUGGUCCAGCCAUGCCGCGUGUGUGAAGAAGGUCUUCGGAUUGUAAAGCACUUUAAGCUGGGAGGAAGGGCAGUAAGUUAAUACCUUGCUGUUUUGACGUUACCAACAGAAUAAGCACCGGCUAACUUCGUG
rnacentral:rRNA from 1 species